AAAAAAGUUCAAAGUCCUUCAUAAUCUGGCUCCUGCCUCCCUUUGCAGCUUGUUGUUCCCCAGUGUCCUGAGCACUGGGGAUGGAUGUGCUUCUUGGGAGUUUGCACCCUGAUGGGGGAAGCAGACAACUCUACCAGUACUUUUUUUUUUUUUUUUAACUCUACCAGUACUUAUGAUACUACAUGACAAGUGUCACAAUGGAGGAUACAGGCCCCUGUGGGCAUAGUGCAGGGGUGUUAUGCUGGCCCAGUGGCCAGAGAAGGUGGCCUUCCUUGGACAACAAUAGGAAUGGAUGAGCUCUCGAGGAGAAGCUGGAGACGGAGCUCUGAGGAGUACUAGCAGUCCUGAUGGAGGAGGAGCUGAUGAAAGUGAUGGAGGAGGCCUGUGCAAAGGGGUCAAUGAGGAGGAAAUCUGGGGAGAAGUUAUGUAGGGAAGACAAUGUUUCAAGGAAAAUGUUGACUCACAGAUAGUGGUCAAGCCACAGAGAGCUCUGCAGAAGCUGGCUGGCUGGCAACGAUGUGCUUUGCAUGAGGAAGCGAUACGUGGGAGCAAAAUUCUUGCCUUGGGAGGCUCAUUCAGGACAGCCAAGCUCUUGAAUUUAACACGGAACCACAAAUGGGAGAGGAGCUGGUGGGGGUGGGGAGCAAGAGCCAUGAACAAUGGGACAUGUGAAAUCCUUCAGCAAAAGGGUAUCUGCUGCUGCGAAUUCCAGGGAAGUGCUAUUCAUGAGUGUGGUUCAUCUUAUACACUGGCAUGGAAACAAGAAUAGGAGGUGUGGCAACACAUUGGCACUCUGAGGCCUCCCAUGGAGGGAGGGAAGAGAGGGAGGCGUUCGCUCACAGAAUUAUCCUGGAGACAGUGAGGGGCUCUGAAGCAGGAACCCCAGCUGGCCACACCUUGAGUCUGCUCACUCCAUGGCUAAGUCCCCCAAAUGCCUUGAGGCAUUUACGUAUCCUCUGCCACUUUGCAAACAUGAUUCCAGUUCAAAGAGCUUGCAACAAAGAGAUUCUGUUCCAGAUUAUUUAAAGAGAGAGAGAAGGGAAAAAAAGCAAGAGCAAGGGAAUAAGAAGAGAAUGGAAAUGAGUAGCACCUCUGCUUGUGACAGAGCUCCAGAUGAAGUUAUAAGCUCCUUACUGGCCAAGGCAAAAAAGGAAACAUGAUCACUUCUAGAAGUCCUGACGUAAAGAGGAUAAAAACUAACAUUCAUUGAGUACAAUCUGGGAUUUUUAACAUAUAGUCUUUAAUUUCCUUCCUUCCCAGUACCCAUACCAAUAAGCCAUUGUUAUUCCCAUUUUCUGGGAAGAAACGUGAAUCUCAGAUGUUGCAGUGGAUUCUGUGCUGGUACUUCACUGAGAUACCCUUUCCUGGACCAACACACUGAUCCCACAGAUCCUGGGAAUUUGGGCUGCUAACAGUUUGCAGUAGUGUUCCUCCCUGGGAAUUGCCUUUGGCUGCAGGGACCUACAUUAAAAGUCACGCCCCCCUCAAGAGAUUUCUUUUCCUGCUCUGAAGGUUGGGAGGUCCCAAAGAGAUCAUGUUUCCAUCAAAGGACACAGUAAGAGUUCCAGUGAACUUUAAACCAUGGCUGCUGCCUGAUUACUUUUGAACUCCUUGAGCUAAGACACCAUCAGCAAGGAAAAGAAUCCCCAUACUAGCAGAGUAAUUGACCCUGGUCAAAAGGAGGACUUACAGCCAUGUGGUUAAGCAACAGGAGCAGAGGAGAAGAUGUGUCAUGCUCAGGUGAUCCACGGGGGUGUCCUUCAUGCCAUUUGCCUAGUUUUAAUGGCACAUGGACAUGUCAAGCAGACCACAGUAACGCAGGGCUCAAGCCCUUCCUGGCUGAGGGUCUGGGUCUCCACCAGAAAAGCUGCCUAGGUGAGAAGAGAUACUGGUAAAAUGCGAGGGCACUCUAGAAAGGUGGUGGAAGGGCAAUCACCAGUAUCAGUUAUGGCAUUGAGACUUCUACAGCUGGUGCUGUGGUUCAUCCCUCUAACACUUCUCUUUCAAGCUUCCCAGGAAACAAAGCCAACCAGAAUUCUGGAGAAGUGAUUCCCACAUGGGUCAGACUUCAUGGCAGCAAAUGAAUCAGGACAGAGCAAGGGGUGGCUAUGGUGGAUACUCUGGUCCUCCACCCAGAUUUCCUCCUCAAGGCUAACCCAUCCGUCCUAAGCUGCUUGAGAUAUUGUUACAGGGAUCCUCACUCAAUGUUACACCCCCUCCCAAAGGUGGCUAAUGUGGAGCUGCAGUGCCUGCUACGUUGCCUCAAUUUGGGACAUCUCUGAAGGGCCAUCCCAGCUCCACAGCUCUCUGUAGGAUCAACUGAGGCUUCAAUGACAGCAAGAUUACUGGUCGGCUUCUGCCUCCAACCAGUCCUGCCUUCCUACUUUCUUUACAGGCACAUCUUUCAAGAGCACUUCACAAUAAACC
rnacentral:lncRNA from 1 species